GGGUUUAGAACGUCGUGAGACAGUUCGGUCCCUAUCUGCCGUGGGCGCUGGAGAACUGAGGGGGGCUGCUCCUAGUACGAGAGGACCGGAGUGGACGCAUCACUGGUGUUCGGGUUGUCAUGCCAAUGGCACUGCCCGGUAGCUAAAUGCGGAAGAGAUAAGUGCUGAAAGCAUCUAAGCACGAAACUUGCCCCGAGAUGAGUUCUCCCUGAGACUUAGAGUCUCCUGAAGGAACGUUGAAGACGACGACGUUGAUAGGCCGGGUGUGUAAGCGCAGCGAUGCGUUGAGCUAACCGGUACUAAUGAACCGUGAGGCUUAACCUUACAACGCCGAAG
rnacentral:rRNA from 1 species